rnacentral:rRNA from 1 species
GUCCUAUUGUUUAAUAUUUUAGGUCUGACCUGCCCAUUGAAUUGAUUUAAAAGGCCGCGGUAUUUUGACCGUGCAAAGGUAGCAUAAUCAUUAGUUUUUUAAUUGAAAGCUGGUAUGAAGGGUUGCAUGAAAAAUUAGCUGUCUCAAUAUAAAUAAUUGAAUUUUAUUUUUAAGUUAAAAAGCUUAAAUUUUUUUAAAAGACGAGAAGACCCUAUAGAGUUUAAUAGAAAAGGAAUAAUUUAUUUUUUAGUAUUAAUAAAUUAAUUAUUUUUUUAUAUUUAAUUGGGGUGAUUAAAAAAUUUAAUAAACUUUUUUUAUUUUAAAACAAUAAUAUUUGAAUUAUUGAUCCAAAAUUUUUGAUUAUAAGAAUAAAUUACCUUAGGGAUAACAGCGUAAUUUUUUUUGAGAGUUCUUAUUGAUAAAAAAGAUUGCGACCUCGAUGUUGGAUUAAAAUUUAUUUUUGGUGUAGAAGCUAAAAAAUUGAGUCUGUUCGACUUUUAAAAUUUUACAUGAUCUGAGUUUAAACCGGUGUGAGCCAGGUUGGUUUCUAUCUUUAAAUAAAAUAAUAUAUUUUAGUACGAAAGGACCAUUUAUAUAAUUAAAAAUUUAAAUUAGAAUAAAAUUGUUAUUUUGGCAGAAUAGUGCGUUAGAUUUAGAAUCUAUUUAUGUAAAUUUUACAAAUAAUACUUGAUAGUUAAGGAUUUAUUAUUAAUUUUUAUUUCUGAUCUAUUAUUGAUUGUAUGUGUACUAAUUAGAGUUGCUUUUUUGACAUUGUUAGAGCGUAAAGUUUU